GUUGGAAGGCUUCACCAAGUACAAAGACGAGACUGCCAGGGUGCAUUACAACUUAAAGGCGUGUGUUCAAUAACAUGUCAUCUCCGGAUAACACCAUUGUUUCUCCCUAAAAUGGACGGACUCAGUGCCCACCACCUGUCCUCAAAACCCAGAAGGACUCAGAACCUAGUGCAUCAUGUCAGCUCCAGCAUCAGACAAAAGACUUACAGAGACUACUUAAACCAGUCUCCACCAUUGUGUAAGAUUUCCAUAAUAAAUACUCUCCUCUAUCACCAAUACACACACACACACACACACACAGACACACACACACACUCCUACCUUCUAAUGCUGUGAUCAUUAUUUUUAAUUUUGUCAUUCAGAUGUCAGAGAACUAGGUAAGAUUGUCUAAAGGCUCUAUCUAUUCCCUAUAGAAAUCCUCUCUAAGAUUUCUUCAAACCCCUGUUGAGUUUAUAUUUUCAUGGUCACUUCUGGCUCACCAAACCUUUCCCAAUCUGCACAAGAGACUUAUUCAUACAAAGCACUUGUUAACAUAACUGUCUUCAGUAAAGAUUUUGGUGGCAUGGGCAAACAAGAAAAGUUCAUGUUACAAAAAACAAUUUCCAAUUGAAUUUCAGGCGCCCUUCUGUAAAAUGUUUCUCCGCUAGCUCAUCUUUACAGAAGGUGCUCAGUUCUUUCACUGUAAAAGCCCUAGCCUCAAGAUCUCCUUGGGUCCUAUCUCCUUCUUUUCCCCUUUUCUCAUCUGCUUUCCCUUUUCUUCCAGUACUCCGCCCUGUUGUUUUCAAGUGCAGAGUAACUUAACUAGCUCUCCUUUCUUUUUCUUCCUUAGGUUAUUGUAGACAUAUGUCCAUGCCCUUAGGAUUUCACUUUCUAUUCCCAAAGACUCUUUUUCCAAGAAGAAUGUUAUUGCAGUUAAGGAAAGAAAAAUUUCACCUGGUUAUAACAGUGACAAGAACAAGAAGCAUACAUUUAGCACUUACUGUGACCAAGGCUCCAAGAACUCUUCAUUUGUCUUCUCUCAUCUGAUUUCCACAACAGUCUAGUGAGGUAGUCUGGCUUUAUUUAGCCUUAUUUUUACAAUGUUAAAAUCAAAUCCCAGAAAUAAUAAUAAUAAUAAUAAAGCAAUUACAAAAACCAAUAUUUAUUGAAAUCAUAUAGGUCAGGCACUGUUUUAAGCACUUGACUUUUUUUGCACUAAUUUCUUACAACUCUACAAUUUUAGCAUAAUUAUCCUCAUUUUAUAAAGAAUUUAAGACACAGAAAACUUGGGUAAUCUGCUCAAAUUCACACAAUAAAGAGAGGCGCUGUGAAUGGAAGCCAGGCUGUUGGAAUGCGGAGCCCAGGAUACUGUUUGAGAAGAUUUUUAAAUUCUAAAGCAAAGAGGCACUGUGACCUGCAUCGAAUUCCACUAAAUUGCUGACUUGUCCUACUGACUUCUUUUAACUUCCUGCUACUGUUCAGAAGGAACAAGAAGUUGGAUAAAAUGCACGAACUUUCCUGGAAACUUCCAGUGUUUCUACACAACAUUUAAUAUUUCCACAUGGUGAGAGCGACAAGCAAUUCAGAGAGGGAUUUUAAGUUGGUUGUCCUUAUUACUGAAAUGAAAAAGCAAGACACUUUAAAAUCUUGAUUAAAGUGAGUUUAUAAGUGAGUUUUCAUUGACUUCGUGACUUUAAGAAAAUUACCUAAUUGCAUACUAGGUUGCUUAUUUUUAAAAUAGGCAUCCUAAGGAACACAGAUUUGAGGUAUUAGAAAAGUUUUAUAUUCCUGACACAAUGCCUGCUAGACCCUUCCUCCUUCUCUGCCUGGCAACCCUCCACUCAUUUUCUGAAGUCAGCUCAGAUACCACCUACUCUGUAAGGCCAUCCCUAACUCACUUGGGUAAUUUCAGUUGCUCUCUUUGCUCCCACAGAUUUCAUGACUCUUAUAAUAACUAUUACAUGUAAUUGUUCAAGUCUGGUUUGCAUUCCUAUGGCCAUCUCACUGCACAACUCUAUAGAGGGCACUCUGUAAUUCUGCAACAGGACAUCCCUGUUUCCAUCAGCUCCAGGCACCUAGAAGUCCUCUCAUCUUUGUAUCCCUAAGACCUGGCAUGAGAUUCCUAGAACAAAGUUAGUGAUUAAUACGUAGUUAAUGAACUAGUGGCUGAAUUUUUC